AGGGGGAAUGGUCGGGAUAGCUCAGUUGGWAGAGCAGAGGACUGAAAAUCCUCGUGUC
rnacentral:tRNA from 7 species